rnacentral:rRNA from 1 species
CCUACGUGAUGCAGCAGUGGGGGAUAUUGCACAAUGGGGGAAACCCUGAUGCAGCGACGCCGCGUGGGUGAAGAAGCGCCUCGGCGCGUAAAGCCCUGUCAGCAGGGAAGAAAAUGACGGUACCUUACGAAGACGCCCCGGCUAACUACGUGCCAGCAGCCGCGGUAAUACGUAGGGGGAAAGCGUUAUCCGGCUUUACUGGGUGGAAAGGGCUCGCAGAAGGCGAUGCAAGCCAGGAGUGAAAGCCCGGGGCCCAACCCCGGGACUGCGCUUGAAACUGCGUGGCUAGAGUGCAGGUGGGGCAGGCGGAAUUCCUGGUGUAGCGGUGAAAUGCGUAGAUAUCAGGAGGAACACCGGUGGCGAAGGCGGCCUGCUGGACUGCAACUGACGUUGAGGCCCGAAAGCGUGGGGAGCAAACAGGAUUAGAUACCCCAGUAGUC